rnacentral:rRNA from 1 species
CCUACGGGGGGCAGCAGUGGGGAAUAUUGGUCAAUGGGCGCAAGCCUGACCCAGCAACGCCGCGUGAAGGAAGAAGGCUUUCGGGUUUUAAACCUCUUUUCUCAGGGACGAAGAAUGUGACGGUACCUGAGGAAUAAGCCACCGCUAACUACGUGCCAGCAGCCGCGGCAAUACGUAGGUGGCAAGCGUUAUCCGGAUUUAUUGGGUGUAAAGGGAGUGUAGGCGGGAGAGGAAGUCAGAUGUGAAAACUCAGGGCUCAACCCUGAGACUGGAUUUGACACUGUGUUUCGUGAGUGCAGGAGAGGAAAUCGGAAUUCGGUGUGUAGCGGUGAAAUGCGUAGAUAUACGGAGGAACACCAGUGGCGAAGGCGGAUUGCUGGACAGUAACUGACGCUGAGGCGCGAAAGCGUGGGGAGCAAACAGGAUUAGAUACCCGGGUAGUC